rnacentral:rRNA from 1 species
ACAAGCCUGAGAAACGGCUAGUAGGACUAAGGUCUGCAGCAGGCGCGAAACUUACACAAUGCUAGAUUACAAUUAGCGAUGUAGUGAAGAAAAAUAACGAUGUACUUCCAUUUAAACAUGGUAGUACAAUUGGAAUGAGACGACUAUAAAUCAGUUAGUCGAGUAACAAAUGGAGGGCAAGUCUGGUGCCAGCAGCCGCGGUAAUUCCAGCUCCAUUAGCAUACAUUAAAGUUGUUGCGGUUAAAAAGCUCGUAGUUGAAUUUUAGGCGGGCUCUAUUGGGGUGCAAUCGUUAAGGUUUUUAUUAUGUUCUUAGGAACUAAUUUAAACUGGUUGUCACCUUCCAUUAGGAACCCGCUGUUUCGUCACUUAAUCGAGUGCGAAGCGGGCUAAAAUAGCCAGAUAUCUUCGGAUAUCUCUAUAUUAGCAUGUUUACCUUGAGAAAAUUAGAGUGCUCACAGCAGGCAGUUGGGGUGUAAAAGCUCCUUUAUGCUUGAAUAAUGUUGCAUGGAAUAAUAGAAUAUGGCCUCGGUUCUAUUCUGUUGGUCUUAUAGAACAACAAACAAGUUGGUUAAAGCGAUCAAAAGUCCAUUUGUGGAUGUGAUUUUAAGUAAAUUCUGUUGCUUGGGGCCUUAAAAUCUCAAUGCCUGGUUUACAUCAAAAUCAUCAAAAGCAUCUCUUAUGUGGCUAGCUUUCUAAUCAACUGAGGCAAUGGUUAAAAGAAAUAGUCGCGGCGGCAUCAGUACUGCAUCGUGAGAG